ACAAACUCAACUUGUGCCCCUUAUUCCCCAUUACGUCACCAACAUUCAAUACCGAUUAUCUAAAACAAACUUUAGAACCCUCAUAAACUCAAAGCUCUCUCAUUUUCUUGAAGGAAAAAACAAGGGAAGAAAAUGAAUCCUCCUGAUAACAGUGACCACCCUCAACUCCCAACAAUCAAGAUCCACCACCCAUCCUCCCCUCACCACCCGUCCUCCGCCGCCAGCCCCACCCCCACCGCCGGAGCACGCCGUAAGAUCGGCGUGGCGGUCGACCUAUCCGAUGAGUCCGCCUUCGCCGUUCGUUGGGCCGUCCAAAACUACCUUCGACCCGGCGAUGCUGUCAUCCUCCUCCACGUGUCACCCACCUCCGUACUCUUCGGGGCCGAUUGGGGCCCUCUCCCCCACACCCCACAAACCCCAGAAACGCCACCGUCCCAGAAGCAACUGGAAGACGAUUUCGAUGCCUUCACGGCUUCAAAGGUGGCGGAUUUGGCCAAACCCUUGAGGGAAGCUGCGAUUCCCUUUAAGAUUCACAUAGUGAAAGAUCAUGAUAUGAGGGAAAGAUUGUGUCUUGAGGUGGAGAGGUUAGGGUUGAGUGCUGUUAUAAUGGGGAGUAGAGGGUUUGGAGCUGAGAAAAGAGGGAAUGAUGGGAGGUUGGGAAGUGUUAGUGAUUAUUGUGUGCAUCACUGUGUUUGUCCUGUUGUUGUUGUUAGGUAUCCUGAUGAGAAAGAUGGCGGGAAUGGUGAGCCCUUGGUGACGGUGAAGGCGGUUGAGGUGGAAGAGGAAGGUGGCAAAGAUGCUUAGCAAAUGCGGUAAUUGCAGCUUUAUCCUAUCAGUAGCAGGUUUGCAUUUUGAUGUCUCGGAGUCACUCGGAUUAGCCGGCUUAAAGAGAUUUCAUCAAAAUGUUUGGCAGUUAAUGGCACUUAGUUAAAAUGGAUCCUAGGAUUUUCUCUUUCCACUUUCAUCUCUUCUUCAUAUAACUCUUAUCGACGAUGAUAUUGUAUGAUUGAUGAGGUUCUUGAUUGUCUUUUAUUGCACUCGAGGAGAUCAUGUUUUACUGCACUGUGAUGAUAUAAUAUAAGGAUAAUGCCGGUGUCAACAUUUGAUUUCAGUUUUAUGAGCUGUUCUGAUUUGCUUUGAUGCCAUAGUGCUGAGCAGAAAUAUAUGAAAAAUAUUCCAUGAGCUUCACCUUGAA